CAUUUAUUACAUUCUGUUCUUAAUAUUAUUUUAUUCUGACUCUGAAUGUUUGUUGCUUUAAUCCAGAUGAGUAUUGAAAAGUUCUUUCUGCACCAAAAAAGGCCUCGUCCAGACGAGACGGAGCAGCUUGAGGAGGCAUCAAACAGUGCUGAACAACCCAGUGCUUCUCAGGGGCUGGGCUGUUCAGGAGAGAUAGUGAUUAAUAUAGGCCAGGAGGACAGCAGACAAAAUGUUGCUGAAACAACAGGUGAGGUGGAAACAGAUUAGUGUAGAUUUUAACUU